rnacentral:rRNA from 1 species
UACGUAGGGGGCAAGCGUUGUCCGGAUUUAUUGGGCGUAAAGAGCGUGUAGGCGGUUCGGUAGGUCCGUUGUGAAAACUCGAGGCUCAACCUCGAGACGCCGAUGGAAACCCUCGAACUAGAGUCCGGAAGAGGAGAGUGGAAUUCCCGGUGUAGCGGUGAAAUGCGCAGAUAUCAGGAGGAACACCGGUGGCGAAGGCGGUUCUCUGGGCCUGUACUGACGCUGAGGAGCGAAAGCGUGGGGAGCGAACAGG